GCGGCGAUAGCUCAGUGGGUAAAGCGCAAGAUAGGAGAUAGUGACUAGUCUGGAAAAUUACCUACGCGGGUUCGAAUCCCGCCUGUGGCA